UGACUGUUUUCCAAAAACAUAGCCCUUGGAAUUAUCAAAGGUGUAACCUGCCCAAUGGUUCUUAAUUCAAUAAAAACAAUAAUUUUAAAAAAGAACUUAAAGGACGCAGUAUCUUGACUGUGGUAAUGUAGCAUAAUCACUCGCCAUUUAAUUGAUGGAUAGUAUGAAUGGUCAAACGAAUAUUACACUGUCUUUAAUGAAAAAUUAAUGAAAUUAAAAUAAUAGUAAAGAUGCUAUUUAAAACUGUAAGACGAAAAGACCCUAUAGAGCUUAACUACAUUCUCUUUUAAAUAUAAAAGAAUAAAACCUCUUUAAACUAAGGAGAAAGGUAGUUUAGUUGGGGCGACUACCUUCUAUAAAAAACGAAGGCAAGCAAUGUUAAUGAGACACUUAUUGUAUAAUACAUAAAUUUAACAAUUACAAAAGUAGGCCAUAAUGACCCAUUAAGACUAAGUAAGAAGCUUAAUGAUCAAUAAAUAAAAGCUACCUUAGGGAUAACAGGAUAAUUUUUGUUUU
rnacentral:rRNA from 1 species